UACGGGGGGGGUAAGCGUUGUUCGGAAUUAUUGGACGUAAAGCGCGCGUAGGCGGUUACUUAAGUCGGAUGUGAAAGCCCUCGGCUUAACUGAGGAAGUGCACCCGAAACUGAGUAGCUAGAGUACGAAAGAGGGUCGCGGAAUUCCCGGUGUAGAGGUGAAAUUCGUAGAUAUCUGGAGGAACACCGGUGGCGAAGGCGGCAUCCUGGACCGGUAUUGACGCUGAGGCGCGAAAGCCAGGGGAGCAAACGGG
rnacentral:rRNA from 1 species